rnacentral:rRNA from 1 species
GACGAACCGUACGAACGUUAUUCGGAAUCACUGGGCUUAAAGGGUGCGUAGGCUGCGCGGAAAGUUGGGUGUGAAAUCCCUCGGCUCAACCGAGGAACUGCGCCCAAAACUGCCGUGCUCGAGGGAGACAGAGGUGAGCGGAACUUAGGGUGGAGCGGUGAAAUGCGUUGAUAUCCUAAGGAACACCGGGUGCGAAAGCGGCUCACUGGGUCUCUUCUGACGCUGAGGCACGAAAGCUAGGGUAGCGAACGGG